rnacentral:lncRNA from 1 species
UUGGUUCUUGGGACUUUGAAGGUUUAUUGCUGACAAAAUCGGUUUUACUUCAGGGCAUACUGGUAAUAUCUUAUCUGGAAAUGAUGUACAUCAUAUAUCUAUCACAAUUUGCAUUCAUAGUCUUCCUUAUUUUGUUUCUAUUUGCUAAUGGAUGAUGAUAGCUGAUACCAGUUUUCUUUGGCAUAUUAGAGCCUACUUUCUCUUUGGGAUUGGAUUGGAAACUUUUGAUUUGUAUGUCUUACCUUUUUCUUUGAUGGAACUAUACUACAUGUUAUUUAUCAUGGACUUUUUCGGGUUCAACGUAUGUUGUCACACAUUCGUUGGGAAAUACAUCUCUUGCAUAUGCAUUUUUUUUUACUUGGAGUGUAUGUCUGCUUGAAUAUUGUCUCA